UGAGGCCCCCGAGCCCCCUCGUCGAACCCUAGCUUGCUAUUCCCCUCUCCCUCGCGACUCUCUCUCUCAGUUUCUUCUCCACUCGAGCACCUCCAAUCGCCGCCGCCGUCGUCCACCACGGCGACCGUCUCCCUUGUCCCUUUCCGAUGCAUCCCGGAGUUUCACUUCCACCGGCUACUUCCUCCAUGCUGCAGAACGCGAGCCGGGACCCACCUCUUCGUCGGGAUCGAGUACUUCCCCGCGUUCGGACACCACCGCCGUGCCUCGGAUCUCCUCCCUUGGCACUUCCCCGACCUCCUGAGCUCGUCAACGAGGACCACUACCCUGAGACCCAUGAUGCCCCUGUGAUCGACUAUGUCGACGACACUUCUUCCUUUUCAGCAGAGCUUCUAGAUGGUGGAGCCGAGGAACCAGACGCCACCGUCGACGACGACUACUACUACCACGAGGGUACUCUACUAUGUGGAGGCCGCCGACGACCAAAAGUAGUUAGGAGGCUCCCAUGCAGGAGGCCUUGCC